rnacentral:rRNA from 1 species
GGGUGCGAGCGUUAUUCGGAAUUACUGGGCGUAAAGCGCGCGUAGGCGGCUUUGCAAGUCGGGUGUGAAAUCCCCAGGCUUAACCUGGGAACUGCAUUCGAGACUGCAUUGCUAGAGUAUGGGAGAGGGAAGUGGAAUUUCCGGUGUAGCGGUGAAAUGCGUAGAUAUCGGAAGGAACAUCAGUGGCGAAAGCGACUUCCUGGACCAAUACUGACGCUCAUGUGCGAAAGCGUGGGGAGCAAACAGG